rnacentral:lncRNA from 1 species
AUUGAAAUUUUCUGAUACAAGUGAGUCUAGAGAACCUUUACCAUGUAUGGUUACUGGCGCCAAAGAAGCCUUAGUGAUUCCUGGACAGAAUCGCAGAAUGUCAAUGAAGGAGAGAGCAGCUUGGCUACCACACAAAUGAAUCCACCCAAACGUCGCCAAGUGGAGCAGGGUACCAAUAUAGGUGCAAAAACACCCUCAAUUCCAGGAGCUCCACACUGAAUUCAGGCCAGUCCCUGGAACCUCCCCAGCAGGAUUCCAGCAAUGAGGAGCUCAUCAUAGUCCUAGAACAAGGGACAGAAGUGAGGUUGAGCCUGGAAGAGGUCAUCCUCAUCUUGGCCCCAGAGACAGCGCUGCAGCUGACCGUGGAGAACACAGUCCUUGUGAUUGUUCCUGGCAUAUCCUGAGGUCACAAGAUGGCCUGCAGUCCCCUGUGCAGAUCCAGUACAUCAUGCCUUCCGUUGAUGACUUCAGCUUGGAGUGCCAUGCUCAAGAUGGAGACAUCUCAGACAUGAAAGGAGAGAAUGUGCCUCUUUCACCUGCAGAAGAACGGGAGGCAGCACCCCUAUAUCACCAGCCCUUGAUGAUAUCCCCAGCAAACCACAAAGCUGGGAUCAGCCCUUUUCUUCUAGUAACCCCAUUGUGCAUUCCAUGCUGUCUGGCAGCCUUCCCCCAACGCUACCCUCUACCACCCACAUCUAGUCCCGUGGGACACCCUAGACCAGCCAACUCCAGUUUCAGCCUGCAUGGUAUGGAGCUACUGUGCACCUCCUCCCUCAGCCGUAUGCCCCCUUCACCAACUCCUGGUCCCCAGAUCUAUCACAGGGUUCACCAUAGGCCUCCCAGCAGGGCACAGAGAUGUCUCUUUAGGAAGUGAUUUAACCAAGAGUCACCCCCUGCAUUGAUAGGUCAGAGAUUGUCCAAGUCCUUAGUCAGUGCAUUCCCUGAAAUGUGGAGAGAAAGUAAUUCCAAGGACCGCUUGCUUCCCCUUUGCUGUUUCCCAUCAACACCCACUGUCUUCAACAGCAGAGGGCUCCAGAUGCUGCAGGGAGGGGGAGAACCGCAGGGAGUUCAAAUAAAACAUUCACAUUUCACUUCACACACACUGUCCCUUAGACUUUCUCUUCCUAUUUAAGCACAUACAUCCAACCACACUCAAUCGAAUCCCUGACUGCUCCAUGUGAGAGUUCUGCUUCCAGCAUGACGUGGUCUGAAAGUUCAUCUGAAGACAGCUGCUCACUCCCGGGGGCUAAUACUGCCCUUGCAUGCUGAUGUCCUUGUAGUCAUUGGUCUGAUGCCACAAUAAAUAAUUCCUAAGGCUGAUGCUCUAUUUCUGCCCUGAGACUCUCCCCUUUUUCUCCAAGCUGUGCCCCAUUCCUUGUCUUAGUCCAGGUUCCCUACACUCCCCAGGCCAAUGCUUUUGAAUAAAU